UACGAAGGGGGCGAGCGUUGUUCGGAAUCACUGGGCGUAAAGGGCGCGUAGGCGGCCCUCUUUGUCGCGUGUGAAAGCCCCGGGCUCAACCUGGGAACGGCGCGCGAAACGGGGGGGCUGGAGUUCGGGAGAGGAGAGUGGAAUUCCCAGUGUAGAGGUGAAAUUCGUAGAUAUUGGGAAGAACACCAGUGGCGAAAGCGGCUUCCUGGUCCAGCACCGACGUUCAGGCACGAAAGCGUGGGGAGCAAACAGG
rnacentral:rRNA from 1 species